AGUGAACGCUGGCGGUAGGCCUAACACAUGCAAGUCGAACGGCAGCACAGUAAGGGCUUGCUCUUACGGGUGGCGAGUGGCGGACGGGUGAGGAAUACAUCGGAAUCUACUUUUUCGUGGGGGAUAACGUAGGGAAACUUACGCUAAUACCGCAUACGACCUACGGGUGAAAGCAGGGGAUCUUCGGACCUUGCGCGAUUGAAUGAGCCGAUGUCGGAUUAGCUAGUUGGCGGGGUAAAGGCCCACCAAGGCGACGAUCCGUAGCUGGUCUGAGAGGAUGAUCAGCCACACUGGAACUGAGACACGGUCCAGACUCCUACGGGAGGCAGCAGUGGGGAAUAUUGGACAAUGGGCGCAAGCCUGAUCCAGCCAUACCGCGUGGGUGAAGGAGGCCUUCGGGUUGUAAAGCCCUUUUGUUGGGAAAGAAAAGCAGCAGGUUAAUACCCCGCUGUUCUGACGGUACCCAAAGAAUAAGCACCGGCUAACUUCGU
rnacentral:rRNA from 1 species